rnacentral:rRNA from 1 species
UACGUAGGGUGCAAGCGUUAAUCGGAAUUACUGGGCGUAAAGCGUGCGCAGGCGGCUUUGUAAGUCAGAUUUGAAAUCCCCGGGCUUAACCUGGGAACUGCGUUUGAAACUACAAGGCUAGAGUGUGGCAGAGGGGGGUGGAAUUCCACGUGUAGCAGUGAAAUGCGUAGAGAUGUGGAGGAACACCGAUGGCGAAGGCAGCCCCCUGGGUUAACACUGACGCUCAGGCACGAAAGCGUGGGGAGCAAACAGG